AGUGAACGCUGGCGGUAGGCCUAACACAUGCAAGUCGAACGGCAGCACAGUAAGAGCUUGCUCUUACGGGUGGCGAGUGGCGGACGGGUGAGGAAUACAUCGGAAUCUACUUUUUCGUGGGGGAUAACGUAGGGAAACUUACGCUAAUACCGCAUACGACCUACGGGUGAAAGCAGGGGAUCUUCGGACCUUGCGCGAUUGAAUGAGCCGAUGUCGGAUUAGCUAGUUGGCGGGGUAAAGGCCCACCAAGGCGACGAUCCGUAGCCGGUCUGAGAGGAUGAUCAGCCACACUGGAACUGAGACACGGUCCAGACUCCUACGGGAGGCAGCAGUGGGGAAUAUUGGACAAUGGGCGCAAGCCUGAUCCAGCUAUACCGCGUGGGUGAAGAAGGCCUUCGGGUUGUAAAGCCCUUUUGUUGGGAAAGAAAAGCAGCAGGUUAAUACCCCGCUGUUCUGACGGUACCCAAAGAAUAAGCACCGGCUAACUUCGUG
rnacentral:rRNA from 1 species